AAUGAGAGUGACAGCCUUGCUGUUCCUCCUCUUGCCCCUCACUCACCCCUCUGUGGUGAAGGAGGAGAUUCUGAAGCCUCUUUUUUGCCAGCUAUUGCCACGUUGCCUGGAUGCUGCAGUGUGAGGAGGGAGCUGCUGCUGCUGACCAUUUGGCUGGCAAGCUGUGGCCAGGUGGCCACGGAUCAGUGUGAGGGGCAGGUGCCUGACAGGGUGCUGGGAGCUGCCAACAUCUACCAGGCCCUGCUGACGUGGCUGCUGUCCCUGGUGCCUCCUGUGACGAGGAAGGAUGGUCCCAAAGCUCCAUUUGAGGUGGUGGGGCUGCAGCAGGCCUGGACAGAGGAAGGCUUGGCCCUGUAUGCCUGCUUGGUGGCACCAGAGGAACCUCCAGCCCAGAGCCACGAGGCAGCAGCUGCAGAACAUCUCCAGGGAUCACCCAGCUUUUACCAGAAGAUUUCUGCAUUUCUGACUUCUACAUGGCUUCCAGACCUUAUCUGGUGGAGAGAUGAACUGGCCAGUCACUUCCAAAAGCAGCUGUGCCCACUUGUUCCUGCAGUUCCCUCUGUCCUGCUCAGUAACAUCACUGCUGUUAAUCCUGACCCUCAGGCUGUGGAGAAGGCGUUUGCAGUGCCAAAGGGAUUUUACUGGCAGACAGUUGAGAGUGAUGACAAACACUUCCCUGACAGCAGUGCCAUGGAGGCUUGCAGGGACACAGACAUCGAGGUAAAGAACAACAAACAACCCCCUCCUUCCUCCCCUGGGGCUCAGGGGGACACUGAGGGACAAUGAAGUGCCCUGGAAUAUUUCAAUCUAGAGCUUUGAUACAAAUUCUGAGCUUGAAGUAUUUUUCCCUCAGACCUAAAUAUAUCAGCUGAGUAUUUUAUGUCAUCAGUAUUGAUGUGCUGAUUGCUCUGAGCCACAGAAGAUUAAACUUUGAAAUGUGUAGGUUGGAG
rnacentral:lncRNA from 1 species